rnacentral:sRNA from 1 species
AACAGCUGAGAACGCGGCGAGUAUGGAAGCUGCUUCUUAGGAGCCUGGGAAAGCGCUUCGACGAGAAUAGUUUGGUUUCGUACACAGAAAAUUGUACAAGUGGAAAUCUUUUCUACAAAUCCAGAUCUGUAUCCAGUCAGAAGAAUAGAUGGAUUAACUGAUGUCUCUCAAAUCAUAACUGUCACUGUCCAAACUGGCCUUGAUCAAUACCAGCAGGUACCUGUUGAGAUUGUCAAAUCUGACUUUCACAAACCAUUUCUUGGUGGAUUCAGACAUAAAAUAACAGGAGUAGAGUAUCACAAUGCUGGAACACAAACUGUACCUAAAAGGAUUCCCGAAAGACUCAGUAUAUUUUGUAGGGAUACACAGACAGUUUUUCAGAAAAAAAAUCUCCAACAAACUACAAAUACAACAUCCACACAGAUGACUAACAUUGGUGUAUAUGUAUCAAAUAUGACUGAUAAACUGGUAACACCAGGAAAGUAUUUUUCAGCAGCAGAAUACCAUGCUCAAAGACUAAAGGCG